GUCGAGCGGAAAGGCCCUUCGGGGUACUCGAGCGGCGAACGGGUGAGUAACACGUGAGCAACCUGCCCCAGGCUUUGGGAUAACCCCGGGAAACCGGGGCUAAUACCGAAUAUGACCUUGCACCGCAUGGUGUUUGGUGGAAAGUUUUUCGGCUUGGGAUGGGCUCGCGGCCUAUCAGCUUGUUGGUGGGGUGAUGGCCUACCAAGGCGACGACGGGUAGCCGGCCUGAGAGGGCGACCGGCCACACUGGGACUGAGACACGGCCCAGACUCCUACGGGAGGCAGCAGUGGGGAAUAUUGCACAAUGGGCGGAAGCCUGAUGCAGCGACGCCGCGUGAGGGAUGACGGCCUUCGGGUUGUAAACCUCUUUCAGCAGGGACGAAGCGUAAGUGACGGUACCUGCAGAAGAAGCGCCGGCCAACUACGUGCCAGCAGCCGCGGUAAGACGUAGGGCGCGAGCGUUGUCCGGAUUUAUUGGGCGUAAAGAGCUCGUAGGCGGCUUGUCGCGUCGACCGUGAAAACCUGGGGCUCAACCCCAGGCCUGCGGUCGAUACGGGCAGGCUAGAGUUCGGUAGGGGAGACUGGAAUUCCUGGUGUAGCGGUGAAAUGCGCAGAUAUCAGGAGGAACACCGGUGGCGAAGGCGGGUCUCUGGGCCGAUACUGACGCUGAGGAGCGAAAGCGUGGGGAGCGAACAGGAUUAGAUACCCUGGUAGUCCACGCUGUAAACGUUGGGCGCUAGGUGUGGGGGGC
rnacentral:rRNA from 1 species